AAAUGUUUAGCUUCUGAUGAGUCUGAGAUUAAAGAACCAUUUAUAGCGUUCUUCAGUCACAGUUCUUUGUCCAUCCAAAACUUUCAAAUGUACUAUUUCUUUCAUUUUUUUAUUUUGCACUUGAUCCUGUCCUUGAGAAUAAGGAGAAUUUAAAAUCAGGUUUUCUUUAAGCUUUGCAGUAUGUGUCAAAAAGACUGUGGGUCAUCGUUUCAUUUAGUUGCCUUCUUUGGUUUGAAUCACUCAAAGGUCAAUGUAAAGGAGUUAGAAAAGCACACAAAAAAAGAAGAGAUAUGCUUCUGAAAUUGUCAUGUAACAGGAGUAGAAUAAAGAAAAAACAGGAAAAACUGGAGAGAGGUUGCUCUCAGACCACUUUGAAAGAUUACAAGAAGGCCUGACUCAUUGUGAGCAAAAUGUUGUCUGAAUUGCAGGUGCUUUAGUUUCUUGCACACUAUUGAAUAUAUGGUUUACAAAUGGAAGUAAAAUGUUAUAUUAAUCACAAUACAGACAAAAAAAUAUCUAGAGGUGAAAACAGGACACACUCAAAUUCAAGUUAGUCCUAAACAAAUAUGGGUAUGGAAUUACAUACUUUUUAAGCACAGAACAAAUGAUCUCAUUAGCAUACUUUUGAAAGAAUAAUUCUCAUUAAAUGGCAACUUUGUACACACUUUAUGAAUGUUAGUGGGAUAGUCUGCUUGGUUUAGGUGAUGUUCAGCAGCUGGACCGAGUCUCAGAUAAACUGAAGGGUCUAGUACUGCUUGAACCUUGAUAAAACUGUGCUGACAGUAUGUAGUUCCUUUUGUGCUUGUUCCUUUAUGUGUUGGUUUAAGAGAUAAACUUGUGAAGGGUUAUAACUAUGAAAAUUCACGUUUAUCAGAUAAUGCAUUGUCUUGUCAAAAUAAUUUUUUAAAUCAAUAUUACAAAACAUGUUUUGUUCUGGGCCAGUUUCAAAUUUAGGAUACCGGGAUCUGUAUUAAAUUUUUUGUUAAAUUACCCAGCCCUGCUUAAUCAGCUUGAUUUCCAGAAUUCUUCUUAAAUUGAAAAUAGAGGAUAUCAAGUAAAUGAUUAUGUGGAUAAACAAAAAAAUUAAAUAUGCUGAUGGUUUUGAUUUGUUUUGCUAUGGUAAAAACUGUGCUUGUUGCUUUGGAUGUUAUGAUGCCUUUUAGAUAAAAGAAAGAGUCACAACCAGGAAAUGCUGGUUCAUAAAUUUUCCCAAGUUUCCUAAAGUAAUACUGAUAAUCCCAAAACAUUCCAUGUAGAGUUGCAUUAAUUUUUUACUCCAAAAAACCAUACUCUAUCCCAAUCGUUACCUACCACUCUGGCUUCUCCCUUUUGCUUCAGUUGUUGGGGCAUUUGAAGCUAGGGUAGGUAACAAAUUUGGACUUGGCCUAAGUGCUGCCCUAACAAAACAAGAAUUUCUAAAAAUCAUAUAACAGGUAUUUUAAGAAUAAAUAGCAGGGUUAAACAGCAUUAUAAUGAGUUACAAAGUUUUUCUGUGGCAGUCAGACAGAAAAUGAGAACACUGACAUGGCAAAAAUGUCAAGAAUGAUAAAAGGAAAGUUGAAGGUGUAAAAAGAACAGAAUUCCUAUAAAACACCAUAAAUGCCAAAGAAAUACAUGACGAAAGAACACUUUGUCAAAAAAGACCAUACAUUUUGUAAAACCUUUCAGUCUUUAAGGGGUUCAUGGUCAAAAACAUAUAAUUCCAGGACAUUCAAGUUCUUGCGUCACCAAGAAAUACUUCCAGGUACAUCCAUACAAAACUCCAUUACUGCUAAGAGUAAAUUGCUACAACUUGAGUCAACUAAUUGUCAUUAUAAAAGAUUAUAUGAAUGACUUUAUUUUAUCUGUGCCUGUAAGGUAACUGGAAAUACAGAACGGACACAAAAAUUAUGAAUCUUACACAUAACCUAUUAGAGUUAUUGAAAAUUUGAGGUUUCCUUAUUUUUUUUAUAAAGGUUAUAUAAUCAAACGCAGUUUGCAGUUUUGUUUAAGGAAUGUUGUGUCUCUUUUUUUCUCCACAGGUCAAACCUAAAUAAAAAAUUCCCCUGCAAAAUCUAUUCGAACUGGGUUAUCAUCCUAACUGAGUGUAGAUUAUGGCUUUCAUUUUUCAUUUAUUGUUUUUAAAGAGCAAAAGAAAAAAAACACACAAUGGAUGUCCAAAUACUUUCCAAAGAAAGUCUGCUGUCCAAAUCUCAGGCUACAAUUAGAAAAGCCAAAUGGCCACUUAUGUCUGUGUAACCACAUCAUUCAAUGUCAGCAAUCAAGUCUGCAUUAUGCAAAAAGGGGGUAAACAACAGACUGAGGGACACAAAUUGGCUCAACACCAGCUGUCUAAUUAGCUUUGUGUUGCUUUUGAAAAGCAAACAGAGAAAGCGGGAUGGUCUGAAAGUUGGCCAAGCGGCGGUUCUGAGAGUUCUAUUUCCUCCAAAUCAGAGCGAGUGUCCAAAUCUACUUGUGCUAAAAAAAAGUUUUGGAAAUGCCGCUAAGAUUUGAUCUCAAGUCACAUCUCCACUUGCGGAUAAAAAUGCAUUUACAUUUUUCCAUGAGCCCUUUGGUUGAGAUUCUGUGAUGUUUGUCACAGCUGUCUAUUUUACAGGGAGUGCACACAGCUUAAUAAAACACAUCCUCAUAUGGGUCUGAAGAUCCAGCACGCCCCAUUAAUUUAACAUACCCCUGCUGACAGGUUACAGCAGAAACAACAUUGCAGAAAAAAACUAUUUCACCUCAAUAUAAAUUCAUCACAUCAAUCUACCUGCCUGUUUGUGUGCUAAUAAUUCUUUUUUAAAUUAAAAGGUUUAAAAAAAACAUAACGAGUGCAUAAUUAGACGGGUUGAGGUGCUCUGCUUCACUUUUUAUUGGUAACAUUGACAGGAAAAUUAGUGACCAGCGGAGGGGAUGCGACGAAACUAGUGAGUCUUACUGAUGAAUUUCGGGCGGUGAAAAGCAACAUGUAUCAUGUCAGAAUUGUCACUUCACUGUCAUUUAGCAGGAGCCCGUGUGGGAGUGUGGACAAAUCAAGAUCCUGCGUCGUUAGCAGUCACUCUGCCAUCGGAGGCAUUGAGUAAUGAUAGUCCACGAGUAGUGGUGGCUGCUGUUCGCCACUUCCCGCUGUUGAUGACAAUUUUGGUGACUAACAUCAAGAGGUUUACAUCGGCUGUUUUACACUGGGAGAAACACAACCCGCUCGUGCCCAGAACUGGGCCAAAAAUAUCCGACUCUUGGCAGUGCAAAUUCUGCUUUAAAAUUGAUCAGGUCCUAACUUGUAAAUGGCAGGGGCUUCUGGCACAUCCAACAUUGCAGACACCUUAUCUGCAGCACCCGUCUUAUCUUCCAGCCCGGGUGGAAACUAUUGCCAGGUAGCAGCUUGUCAUAUGACGCACAGCUCGGUGACAAGUCACAGCUCAGCACAGUUUCCCACACCACUGGCAGGCUUUGUGUGAUAAUGCACAACACGCAAACAGCACUGUGGGCUUUUAGAUAGUGCAGAGUGGGGGAAAUGGAAGCCCUGUGAUGAUGUAUAUCUACUUCAUUAAAGAGCUGACCUUGACCAUGGGGAAAACUGUAUUAGUCAGGAUUUCAGCAAAAACACCAGAUGAUGUUUAUGUGUCGAAAAGGAGCUCCGCCUCCUGUUGAUGCUCUCACACUCGUGUUGGGUCUACAUGCAUGCUGCGCUCAUUGUGCUGUUCAACAAAAGGAGGCGCUGAUGCAGUGAUCUGUGGCCAGGUGCCUCUACCAGGCAACAUAAACACGGCAGACAAUGACUCUACACUUCCCUUGCUUAAGGAACCAGCACAGAUAGUUGGACGGGAUACCUGCACAUCGGAGCACAUCCAUAUUUGCCCUCAGAAAGAAAAACUUCUUUGAGACUCCUUUCAUUCACACGAUUGAAUCUGGCCAAAUGCUGUAAAUGUGUUGGUUAUUUGUUGGAAUUUAUUUUUUACUCACAAAGAAGCACCAUUUCCUGUGACCUUGUUGCAGGUAACCUGCUUUCAGUUAUUUCGAACACCUAUAAUUGAAAGUGAGCAGUUCUUAAAUAGAUCACUCAUCCGACUGGGGAGGGUUGAAAUGGCCUUUCAUCCUGGGUUUACCUCUUCCCAUUCACUGUUCCCACACAAAACUUGACUGCUCUUUUUUUCCCUUCAGCCUUUCCAUCUCCUUCUUUCCUUUCCUCCCUAAUUUUCUCAUCUGCUGUCUUGCAUGCUCCUUUUGCCUCACCGUUAGACGUUAUCUCAAAGACCAGAUCACCAUGGCAACAAUUAGUCACAUCGUCAUCGCCCACACUUGCAUUUGAUGGCUGUUUUUAUUUUUGAGGGUUUCUCGACAUGCCCCUACCUCACUGGCAGAUUGCCGAGUAACCUCUUCUGCAGUUGAAGGAACAAUGUUGCCAUCUGUUGGAUCCGUGCAUUUGCACACAAGCAAGCCACGCUUGGAGAAAACUGCCAGCACCCCUGCAAUGACUCAUGGCAGACAAUCACAUGCCAAUUAAGACCUUCGACUCUGACCAGUGUCUGCUGGGCUCAAUCUCAAAUCACAAGUCAGAGAGCCACAUCCCCUCCCUCCAUGGAAAGGUCAGUGUGCACUGCUGGAUAUCUUUUCAUUAAAAAUAAUGUUAAAGAAAAACAAAGAUUUUCCUAUAGACUCCCUCUUGGCGGUUUGUGCUGGUGUCUGAUACAAACCAAACAGACUCAAACACAUACGCACAAAAUGUUGGGGUGAUACAAGUCUGGUUUGGAUGAAAGAAGAGUAGACUGGUGACAGCUUGGUUAAUUAAACAUGGAGAGUACUUAGGCUAGGGACCAGAACUCAUAUUUAUUCAUCAUUCCUGGCAUAUUGUAUAUCUUUAAAUAAAAAAGAGCAGUGCUCCUCCAGCAGUGUAAUAACCAAUAUGAAUGACAAUAUAAAAGCUAAGAUCUUGUUUGAGAGUUACUCUUCAAGUCCUGGACCUACUUUUUUCUCUCUGGAGGCGCUAAUUAACCAAUUCUUGUUAAGUCUUACAGUUUAAUGAUGUAACUCCACAGAGUUGAGAAUAAUUUCUCAUCUGGGAUGUGUAAUUGCUCUAGGUAUUUAUUUUUUUCACUUCAAAAACGCCCCCAAAAAGGUGUUAAAAUGCUCACCUUGAUUACUUUUUAUUUUUAUUUUUUACUGGGGGGAAAAAAAAGUGAACAGACGUGGUUAUGUGAUAAAAUGCAAGGGCCAAGCUAGUUCAAGUUAAGAUGAUGCAAUAUGAAAGAAAACAAAUUCUGCUGCUGGCACUUUAGCUCUGGCACUUGAGGUGAAGACUCCUGCUGAGACACAAGCUCAAGGCUACAUAAUAAUUCUUGGCAGACCUGUUUAGCAGGAGAUAUGAUUUACCAGCUGCAUAGUCAGAUUUACAAUGGGGCUUGUCCACUAGAGAUAAAUAUCCAUGUUAUGCUGGACAGUCACUGCUUUACAGCUGUGUUUGCUUGCAGGUCGUCAUCAAAAGAAGGCAGCAAGGCUGUACUGCAGCUUUGAAGAACGUGGAACAAAAGGUGGAACGUGUUCUGCAUAUGCAUGGUCACAGGUGAUCUGUUGGGUGGAGAUCUGGUGACCGUGGAGACCAUUUGAAUUCAUUGUUCAAGAAACCAGUCUGAGGUGAUUCCAGCUUUAUGACAUGGCGCGUUAUCCUGCUGGAAGUAGCCAUCAUACGAGGGUACACUGUGGUCAUAAACGGAUGGAAAAGCCUGCUGGUCUGCUGCACCAUUUUCCUCCUUUUCCGAGAGGAGCAUCUCUGUGAUUCUGCACUACCAUCUUCUGGAAAACCCACAGGCAGAGUCUGCUGCAGCAAACUCUCAGCCGUCCCUCUUCCGCUCUGCUGCACUGUAACAGAGAUUGAUUUCUCUGUCUGUCACUGAUGACAUUGUACGACUGCCAUAUUUAAAUUAGUAGCACCCUGAUAAGAGGAAAUCCAUGAAUCAUGUCUCCCUGGACUUCAAAUCUUACCAUUCAUUGAGGGGAGAAAAAUCUGAAAGCACCGGAGCUUUUCAUUGACACGGCUUAAAAUUGACCCAUUCUAGCUUCCAUUUGAGAUAAAACUAUUUUCAAGUGCAGUACUAACGGAGAGAGCUUGACUGUGUGUACAGCGAAGAACAACCACAGCUGUUUGACUCUUAAGAGGUAGUGGAGCACAUUAUGUAAUGCAAUUAUGCAUCAAAAUUUACAGCAAGCAAUUGUGCAGGCAACCAGCCAGCUGUGAUGGGUUUACAUAACUGUCAGAAAAUGACAAUUAAGAAGAAAGGAAUGACUUUUUCUCAUCCAAGCACAACAUUAACUCUCAAGCAAAACCCAUAACACAUUGUUUUAUUUUCACAUUGAAGAAGAAGUUGGUAUUAUCUGACAUUUCCCUCUGUUCUGUUGAUCUGUAAAGGUGCAGACGUUGAGGUUCAGAACGUUGAAUUAAAAGGGGUCUAAAAA